rnacentral:rRNA from 1 species
CAAGUCGCACGAGAAAGGGAGCAAUCCUAAGUAAAGUGGCGCACGGGUGAGUAACACGUGGAUCAUCUACCUUUUAGUGGGGAAUACCUCCGGGAAACUGGAGACAAUACCGCAUAAGCUCGUAAGAGGAAAGCAGCAAUGCGCUGAAAGAGGAGUCCGCGGCCGAUUAUGCUAGAUGGCGGGGUAACGGCCCACCAUGGCGAAGAUCGGUAGCCGGCCUGAGAGGGCACACGGCCACACUGGCACUGAAACACGGGCCAGACUCCUACGGGAGGCAGCAGUGGGGAAUCUUGCACAAUGGAGGAAACUCUGAUGCAGCGACGCCGCGUGAGCGAUGAAGCCCUUCGGGGUGUAAAGCUCUUUCGACAGGAACGAUAAUGACGGUACCUGAAGAAGAAGCUGCGGCUAACUACGUGCCAGCAGCCGCGGUAAUACGUAGGCAGCAAGCGUUGUUCGGAAUUACUGGGCGUAAAGAGUGUGUAGGCUGUGCUCUAAGUCUGGUGUGAAAUCUCCCGGCUUAACUGGGAGGGUGCGCCGGAAACUGGGGUGCUAGAGUAUGGGAGAGGCAAGCGGAAUUCCUGGUGUAGCGGUGAAAUGCGUAGAUAUCAGGAGGAACACCUGUGGUGUAGACAGCUUGCUGGACCAUUACUGACGCUGAGACACGAAAGCGUGGGUAGCAAACAGGAUUAGAUACCCUGGUAGUCCACGCCCUAAACGAUGCAUACUUGGUGUGAGCCAUUCAUUUGGUUCGUGCCGGAGCUAACGCGUUAAGUAUGCCGCCUGGGGAGUACGGUCGCAAGGCUGAAACUCAAAGGAAUUGACGGGGGCCCGCACAAGCGGUGGAGCAUGUGGUUCAAUUC